rnacentral:rRNA from 1 species
UAGGGAAUCUUCCGCAAUGGGCGAAAGCCUGACGGAGCAACGCCGCGUGAGUGAUGAAGGUCUUCGGAUCGUAAAACUCUGUUAUUAGGGAAGAACAAAUGUGUAAGUAACUAUGCACGUCUUGACGGUACCUAAUCAGAAAGCCACGGCUAACUACGUGCCAGCAGCCGCGGUAAUACGUAGGUGGCAAGCGUUAUCCGGAAUUAUUGGGCGUAAAGCGCGCGUAGGCGGUUUUUUAAGUCUGAUGUGAAAGCCCACGGCUCAACCGUGGAGGGUCAUUGGAAACUGGAAAACUUGAGUGCAGAAGAGGAAAGUGGAAUUCCACGUGUAGCGGUGAAAUGCGCAGAGAUAUGGAGGAACACCAGUGGCGAAGGCGACUUUCUGGUCUGUAACUGACGCUGAUGUGCGAAAGCGUGGGGAUCAAACAGG